AGGGCUCCGCUCGGUGUUGCUUCUCUACCAGGGUGGUGGGGGGAAAGUGCUCACUCACUCCCGCUCGGCCGAGAGACGGUGUUCGGUGUGCUGUGUCGCUUUCGCUUCCUGCUCGCUGCUCCCCCGGGUUAGGUGGAUGUAAGAUCACAACCCCGUGACAAAAUGUGGACGUGACGUGCGGAUCAUGCAUGUCUCUUUUUGCAGAGAAAGUGUGAGCGUUAAUGACACCAAAGCAGCUGUUGCCAGCGACAUCCCAGGAAAGUGUAACUUGGCCCCCAGGGAGCCGCCGAGCCAGGGAGUCAUGGAAGCCUUGAGACACAGGUGGUGUUUUGAAGUCAUCUCUGCAGCCUGUGGCCGGUUUUUUUAAAUUUAAAAACAUGACAUGUAACUUGU